AUUGCUUUUAAUGACAGCUUUGGCAUUCUGCAUUUUAUUCUGGUUAUUACUGCAAACUGGUGGGUGAUUAAUGUGUAUUACAUUCCCUUCUAAUGUGGUUUGUCUCUUUCUUCCUUUCUCCCAAUUUGGUGUCUUAUCUAUUGUGGUGACACAAAUACUCAGAUGUUGUUUAAUUUCUGGGUUUAUUUCCUUUCCCUCUUUCAAGACCCAUCCGAUGGCAGCACCUCCUUCUUCGAGGGUUCCCAGCUCUGAUGGAAUCAUUUUGACAUUUGACCACAGACCAUUGUCUGUCUACUCCGCAUGACAGUAAGCUGCAGGAGAAUGGCCAGGUGAAUACCCAAAGGGGACUGGAGGCUUCCAGCUUGAGAGGAUCUGAGUGACCUGGCACAUCCGCCCAGAGCAUGGCUCUGAAUCAAUAGACACCUUGCCCAGGUCACAUGCAAGUGAGUGGCAAAGGGCAGUUUCCACCUGGGGGCUUUGCGUUCAGAAUUGGCUUUCUGAAAAGUGCCCCAGACUUCAUCUUUGUCAAUCCUAGGGCCUGACUCUUGGGUUCCUAGUUGAAAAACAACAGCUGUGAAUAUUAAAUGAGGCACAUGCACUGAGAUUCUUCGAUCACUGGUAUGUGUAUAAAUUUCAAUAAUAAUGGGGUUGCAUGCAUCAGACCCAUCAAUCAUUACUCCCUAUGCUGCUGAGACGUUGCUCAAUGUCAGACACAUGCUUCACAGACAUAGCCUCUGGAAUCCAGCCGCAUGGCCAAGGGCCCAUGGCCUGCACCAUGGGCAAUCCCCUUCCUUCGCCAGGCCUCAGUCUUUCUGCCUUCAAUAGGGAGGUGAAUUUGUAGUGGAUAGCCUUGCUCAGACUGUCCAGGUUUCAGAACUCUGAGUACUAAGAUGGUACAUGAGGAAACAUCAUUUCUUCACUCUGUGCAUCUGAUGCCUGCACAACUGCCUGCGUGUCGAAUUAUGUCUCACCUUCCCUAAAAGUGCCUGCAAUGGCUCCCUUGUGCUCAUUAUAGAGCAUUUGAGACCUUGCUUAAUCUGGUUGCCAAAUCUCCCCUUCUCACUCACUUUGUGGCCAACCAGUUGGGAGCCAGGUGAUAACAAGGGAGAAGGAGGGUAUUUCAGGUUGUGGACAUAGCAGGCCAGAGUAACAGCAUGCAAGAGGGGAUAGUGAGGGUGGAGGUCAGGAAGGGAGUGUCUCAUGGCUUGGCAUUUUAGGAAUUCAGCACAUUAGACUCACAGGACUGGAUGAAUGCUGACUUCAUGGCCACCUCUGAGAUUUUAUAUAAACAUUCACUGGUCAUCUCUUCUGUGCCAGGCUCUUGGCCAGGCACUAGGAAGGCACAUCAACGGCAUUAUAAACAUUGAACCACAAUAAAAGGCAAAAGAACUGUGUGCCAAGGAGAAAGAUAGGAACUAACAUUUGUAGGGCACAUACUGUGUGCUGGACACUUUACAUUCAUUUCUCUUGUGGUGGAUUGUGUUUCCAAAGAUGCCUGCAACACUAUUGCAUCCUAUAUGCUCUUUUGCGAUGUGACCAUACCACUUUCCCAUCAAGAGUUGGUGUAUAUUUCUCCUCCCCUUAAAUCUGGGUUGAUUGUGAAACUUCUAAGACUGGGCCUUGAAAGACUGUUAGCAUGUCUACUUUCCUGCUGUAAGGGCUCUUUCUUGAGGGUCAUCUAUGGCUGGCUGCCAGAGACCAUGCUGUGAGGAAGCCCAAGCUAUCAUGAGGCCAGAGGCCAUGUAGUAGAGCCCUAAUACAUCAGUUUUGUGAGUGAAGCUGUCUUGGUUGGACCAUCCACCAGCCAGGAGAAUGACCACAGGAGACACCCUGACUACCAGAAUCACCGAGGCCUGAAUCCCAAACUCACAGUAUUAUGAGCACAUAAAAUAGUUAUUUUUAUAAGCCAAUAAGUGUUGGGGCAGUUUGCUAGGCUCCAAUAGAGAACCAAAACACCUCUUUAAUUCUCCUGCAUAACCUUGAGAGGCAGGUGCUGUUAUCUCUACAGAUAAGGAAACAGGAUUGGAUCGGUGAACAGCUAGUUCAACAUCAUAUGGGAAGUCGAUGGCUGAAGUGGAUUGAAACCCAGGCCUCUGGCUGGGUGCAGUGGCUCAUGCCUGUAAUCCCAGCACUUCGGGAGCCUGAGGCAGAAGGACCACCUGAGCCCAUGAGUUCGAGACCAGCCUGGGCAACAUGGUGAGGCCUGUCUCUAUUGAAAAAAAAAAAAAAUCAAACCCAGGCCUCUGUGACCCCAAGACUUUGCCAGUUCCCUCAGUCAUGGUACUGUCACAGGGCAGCAGUGGAGCCUUUGAUUCUGCUGAGGCUCUCCCUUUGGGGAGGGCGUCUAAGCAGGAAAUAGUGGAAGACUUCUUUGCAUUCUUUUGUACCUUCUGCAUUUUGAAUCUAUUCCCCAUUCCAAAGUGAACAAAUAAAGGUAACGUUCUUAUUUACAAGAAAAUAACUGUGGUAUGUGUAUAGGUCAGGCUGGGAGUGGAGAAAUUAGAGGCGCUUCAUAGAACAGCAGCAUUUGGGUUCCGCUUAGAAUUCAGUGGUUCCCACCCCUGGCGGUACUCUGGAAUCACCUGCGGAGCUUUAGAAGUCCGGAUGCCAGGGUUCCGCCCAGAGGUGCUGUUUUAAUUGGCCUGGGGCAGGGCUUGGGCUUCAGGAUUUUUUAAAAGCCCCCUAGGUGGUUCAAAUGCGCAGCUAAGGUGGAGAGCUAGCGCUCAAUGGGGGACCAGGAUUCUGCUGGCAGUGGAAGGCUGGAGAGACGAG
rnacentral:lncRNA from 1 species